rnacentral:rRNA from 1 species
CUACGGGCGGCAGCAGUGAGGAAUAUUCCGCAAUGGGCGAAAGCCUGACGGAGCAAUCCCUCAUAAAUGAAGAAGCCCUUCGGGGUGUAAAGUUUAGUAAUCAGGGAAGAAAUCUUGACUGUACCUGAUGAAUAGUCACGGCUAACUACGUGCCAGCAGCCGCGGUAAUACGUAGGUGGCAAGCAUUGCUCGGAUUUAUUGGGCGUGAAGCGCGUGUAGGUGUCUUGAUAAGUCUUUUGUUAAAGCUCCCUGCUCAACGGGGAAAUCGCAAAAGAUACUGUCAGGAUUUGAGAUAGGUAGGGGUGAGCGGAACUUGUGGAGUAGGAGUGAAAUCCGUUGAUAUCACAAGGAACACCGAUGGCGAAAGCAGCUCACUGGGCCUAUUCUGACACUAAGACGCGAAAGCGUGGGUAGCGAAUGGGAUUAGAUACCCCCGUAGUC